AGUGAACGCUGGCGGUAGGCCUAACACAUGCAAGUCGAACGGCAGCACAGUAAGAGCUUGCUCUUACGGGUGGCGAGUGGCGGACGGGUGAGGAAUACAUCGGAAUCUACUUUUUCGUGGGGGAUAACGUAGGGAAACUUACGCUAAUACCGCAUACGACCUACGGGUGAAAGCAGUGGAUCUUCUGACCUUGCGCGAUUGAAUGAGCCGAUGUCGGAUUAGCUAGUUGGCGGGGUAAAGGCCCACCAAGGCGACGAUCCGUAGCUGGUCUGAGAGGAGGAUCAGCCACACUGGAACUGAGACACGGUCCAGACUCCUACGGGAGGCAGCAGUGGGGAAUAUUGGACAAUGGGCGCAAGCCUGAUCCAGCCAUACCGCAUGGGUGAAGAAGGCCUUCGGGUUGUAAAGCCCUUUUGUUGGGAAAGAAAAGCAGCAGGUUAACACCCCGCUGUUCUGACGGUACCCAAAGAAUAAGCACCGGCUAACUUCGUG
rnacentral:rRNA from 1 species